rnacentral:rRNA from 1 species
CCUACGGGGGGCAGCAGUGAGGAAUAUUGGUCAAUGGACGAGAGUCUGAACCAGCCAAGUAGCGUGAAGGAUGACUGCCCUAUGGGUUGUAAACUUCUUUUAUAUGGGAAUAAAACGUUCCACGUGUGGGAUUUUGUAUGUACCAUAUGAAUAAGGAUCGGCUAACUCCGUGCCAGCAGCCGCGGUAAUACGGAGGAUCCGAGCGUUAUCCGGAUUUAUUGGGUUUAAAGGGAGCGUAGGGGGAUUGUUAAGUCAGUUGUGAAAGUUUGCGGCUCAACCGUAGAAUUGCAGUUGAAACUGGCAGUCUUGAGUACAGUAGAGGUGGGCGGAAUUCGUGGUGUAGCGGUGAAAUGCUUAGAUAUCACGAAGAACUCCGAUUGCGAAGGCAGUUCACUGGACUGCAACUGACACUGAGGCUCGAAAGUGUGGGUAUCAAACAGGAUUAGAUACCCUGGUAGUC